rnacentral:rRNA from 1 species
CCUACGGGAGGCAGCAGUGGGGAAUAUUGCACAAUGGGGGAAACCCUGAUGCAGCAACGCCGCGUGAGUGAAGAAGGUUUUCGGAUUGUAAAGCUCUGUUAGCAGGGAGGAGGAAGGACGGUACCUGCAGAGGAAGCCACGGCUAACUACGUGCCAGCAGCCGCGGUCAUACGCAGGUGGCAAGCUUUGUUCGGAUUAACUGGGCGUAAAGGAUGCGUAGGCGGUUAAACAAGUUAUAUGUGAAAUCUAUAGGCUUAACCUGUAGAAAGCAUAUAAAACUGUUUAACUAGUGUGUAGGAGAGGUAAGUGGAAUGCAUGGUGUAGCGGUGAAAUGCUUAGAGAUUAGGAAGAACACC